GAGCAGAGUUGUAUCAGAGUCACCUCUUUCAUCUGCAAAGGGUGCUUUGUGCGGUCGUGGACAGGAAAGGGAAAUCCUCGUGUCGCGGAGCAGUGAGGGAGGUAGAGCGUAAACCUUUGGAGGAACCUGUCACAGGAAAGAGCUCCUUCUGGAACUGUUCAGCACUCGGGAGGCAACUGGGUGACUGGCUUGAUCUACUUCUGAGCUGAAACACAGUGUACGACACGGGACUUGACGACCAGAGCUGCUUUUGGCAAGGUGCCAUGGCAGGCUCUCUAGAGAAGUGGUUGAGGAUUGGAGAAGAGGUUGCAGAUGAUCAAGGAGCGACACGUGCAGGGAUGGCUUGAAAAGGGUGAUUGGCUUCAGGUUCCAGGUGGGACCUAGUGGUAACUGAGUUGCAGGUAUUCCAUGACAGAGCUCAUUCUGCCUGGGCUGCUUUUUGGGUAGGUAAACAUUAGGAGGAACCGGUCAAAGGUAACAGCGCUUUCUGGAACCGUCAAGUUCUUGUUCGGCAACGUAGUGACUGGUUUGAUCUACUUCACAGAUGGAGAGGCAAGUGGACUGCUCUCUUUGAAAUAAUAAAAUUGAAAACAUAAAGUUUGUCAAAGAUGGCAGUGCAUGUUUGCAGUCUGUUUAUUGCUUUUGCCAGUGGUAGAUAACAUUUAUAAGGAAUCGGUGAAAGGAAAGAGCGCCUUCUGGAACUGUGAAGCUCUGUGUUGGCAACUCGGUGACUGGCUGGACCUACUGUCCAUCUCCAGAGGGAAGCGGACUGCUAUUUUGAAAUUAAAAAAUACUAAUAAAAAAAAAAAAAAUAUGGUGCUGCUCUAUGGCGCCCGGAGGACUGCCACUCUGCAUGGCAGUUAAAAAGAAUGUGGUUUGGAGAUGGAGAGCCACAGAGAUGAAGCAGCUGGGAAGAGAGACACAAGUAUUGCAGUAGGUAGGCUGUGGUUAUGAGGUGCCUCAGGAUGUGCUUUUUUUCUUGUUUCCGCCCUUCCCUCGUGCAGCCUUGGAGAGAUGAAGUCCCCAUGGUGUGGAGUGGUGCAAAAAGUCUCUGACAUCCAGCCAAGAUGGACAAAGGAGAAGGACAAGGGAAAAGCCUGGGAGGAAGACUAUGAGCCUUCAGUACGAGAGACCCGCAGAGGGACCACCAGAGACUGAUAACACAUGCGCCAGUGGGCGGGUUCGGAUUCCAGGAACUAGUUAUAAUAACCCUGCCUUUUCUAGAAGUAGUAAUGAAUAUGUAUUAGCCCAGGAGCAUAAAACCCAGCCGCCUGCUGUGACUUGUGUGCGUCUCGGUGGAGCAGAGACUCCCGGCGCACCCAGUGCUGUUUGCUUACCUCUAUUCAUUUAAUAAAUUGUAAACUUUGAUUGUAAUCCUA